UGGGGAAUAUUGGACAAUGGGCGCAAGUCUGAUCCAGCCAUGCCGCGUGAGUGAUGAAGGCCCUAGGGUUGUAAAGCUCUUUCACCGGUGAAGAUAAUGACGGUAACCGGAGAAGAAGCCCCGGCUAACUUCGUGCCAGCAGCCGCGGUAAUACGAAGGGGGCUAGCGUUGUUCGGAUUUACUGGGCGUAAAGCGCACGUAGGCGGACUUUUAAGUCAGGGGUGAAAUCCCGGGGCUCAACCCCGGAACUGCCUUUGAUACUGGAAGUCUUGAGUAUGGUAGAGGUGAGUGGAAUUCCGAGUGUAGAGGUGAGAUUCGUAGAUAUUCGGAGGAAAACCAGUGGCGAAGGCGGCUCACUGGACCAUUACUGACGCUGAGGUGCGAAAGAGUGGGGAGCAAAAAGG
rnacentral:rRNA from 1 species